rnacentral:snoRNA from 1 species
CCCAGGUGUGGGCAACUGCCUAGGAUACAUUGUACCUAGGCAAGUGUUACACUCCUGGGAAAAAAGCAGCUAAUAGCUGGUGGGCAUUCUGGGCCUGGUUAAUGCCAACUCU